rnacentral:rRNA from 1 species
GACGAACGCUGGCGGCGUGCUUAACACAUGCAAGUCGAACGGAAAGGCCCCUUUGGGGGUACUCGAGUGGCGAACGGGUGAGUAACACGUGAGUAACCUGCCCUUGUCUUCGGGAUAACUUCAGGAAACUGGGGCUAAUACCGGAUAGGAAUCCUUGCUGCAUGGUGGGGGUUGGAAAGCUUCGGCGGUGUUGGAUGGACUCGCGGCUUAUCAGCUUGUUGGUGGGGUAGUGGCUUACCAAGGCUUUGACGGGUAGCCGGCCUGAGAGGGCGAGCGGCCACAGUGGGACUGAGAUACGGACCAGACUCCUACGGGAGGCAGAAGUGGGGAAUAUUGCACAAUGGGCGGGAGCCUGAUGCAGCAACGCCGCGGGCGGGAGGACGGCCUUCGGGUUGGAAACCGCUUUCAGCAGGGGCGAAGCUUGUGGUGACGGUACCUGCAGAAGAAGCACCGGCUAACUACGUG